rnacentral:misc_RNA from 1 species
AAAUGCGAUAAGUAAUGUGCAUUGCAGAAUUCAGUGAAUCAUCGAAUCUUUGAACGCACAUUGCGCCCGCCAGCACUCUGGCGGGCAUGCCUGUCCGAGCGUCAUUUCAACCAUCAAGCCCCCGGGCUUGUGUUGGGGACCUGCGGCUGCCCGCAGGCCCUGAAAACCAGUGGCGGGCUCGCUGUCACACCGAGCGUAGUAGCAAUCACCUCGCUCAGGGCGUGCUGCGGGUUCCGGCCGUUAAACAGCCUUACAAAACCCAAGGUUGACCUCGGAUCAGGUAGGAAUACCCGCUGAACUUAAGC